UCCACGCCGUAAACGAUGAAUACUAGGUGUUGGAUGAAUUAUCGUUCAGUGCCGCAGCUAACGCAUUAAGUAUUCCACCUGGGGAGUACGAUCGCAAGGUUGAAACUCAAAGGAAUUGACGGGGGCCCGCACAAGCAGUGGAGCAUGUGGUUUAAUUCGAUGCAACGCGAAGAACCUUACCUAGGCUUGAAAUGCAGUGGACCAGUUGUGAAAGCAACCUUCUCUUCGGAGCC
rnacentral:rRNA from 1 species